CGUAGGGGCAAGCGUUAUCCGGAUUUACUGGGGUGUAAAGGGAGCGUAGACGGCAAGGCAAGUCUGAUGUGAAAACCCAGGGCUUAACCCUGGGACUGCAUUGGAAACUGUCUGGCUCGAGUGCCGGAGAGGUAAGCGGAAUUCCUAGUGUAGCGGUGAAAUGCGUAGAUAUUAGGAAGAACACCAGUGGCGAAGGCGGCUUACUGGACGGUAACUGACGUUGAGGCUCGAAAGCGUGGGGAGCAAACAGGAUU
rnacentral:rRNA from 1 species